rnacentral:rRNA from 1 species
AGAGCGAACGCUGGCGGCAGGCUUAACACAUGCAAGUCGAGCGGGCGUAGCAAUACGUCAGCGGCAGACGGGUGAGUAACGCGUGGGAACGUACCUUUUGGCUCGGAACAACCCAGGGAAACUUGGGCUAAUACCGGAUAAGCCCUUACGGGGAAAGAUUUAUCGCCGAAAGAUCGGCCCGCGUCUGAUUAGCUAGUUGGUGGGGUAAUGGCCCACCAAGGCGACGAUCAGUAGCUGGUCUGAGAGGAUGAUCAGCCACAUUGGGACUGAGACACGGCCCAAACUCCUACGGGAGGCAGCAGUGGGGAAUAUUGGACAAUGGGCGCAAGCCUGAUCCAGCCAUGCCGCGUGAGUGAUGAAGGCCCUAGGGUUGUAAAGCUCUUUUGUGCGGGAAGAUAAUGACGGUACCGCAAGAAUAAGCCCGGCUAACUUCGUGCCAGCAGCCGC